GGGUUGUGAGGUUAAGCGACUAAGCGUACACGGUGGAUGCCCUGGCAGUCAGAGGCGAUGAAGGACGUGCUAAUCUGCGAUAAGCGUCGGUAAGGUGAUAUGAACCGUUAUAACCGGCGAUUUCCGAAUGGGGAAACCCAGUGUGUUUCGACACACUAUCAUUAACUGAAUCCAUAGGUUAAUGAGGCGAACCGGGGGAACUGAAACAUCUAAGUACCCCGAGGAAAAGAAAUCAAUCGAGAUUCCCCCAGUAGCGGCGAGCGAACGGGGAGCAGCCCAGAGCCUGAAUCAGUAUGUGUGUUAGUGGAAGCGUCUGGAAAGGCGCGCGAUACAGGGUGACAGCCCCGUACACAAAAAUGCACAUGCUGUGAGCUCGAUGAGUAGGGCGGGACACGUGGUAUCCUGUCUGAAUAUGGGGGGACCAUCCUCCAAGGCUAAAUACUCCUGACUGACCGAUAGUGAACCAGUACCGUGAGGGAAAGGCGAAAAGAACCCCGGCGAGGGGAGUGAAAAAGAACCUGAAACCGUGUACGUACAAGCAGUGGGAGCACGCUUAGGCGUGUGACUGCGUACCUUUUGUAUAAUGGGUCAGCGACUUAUAUUCUGUAGCAAGGUUAACCGAAUAGGGGAGCCGAAGGGAAACCGAGUCUUAACUGGGCGUUAAGUUGCAGGGUAUAGACCCGAAACCCGGUGAUCUAGCCAUGGGCAGGUUGAAGGUUGGGUAACACUAACUGGAGGACCGAACCGACUAAUGUUGAAAAAUUAGCGGAUGACUUGUGGCUGGGGGUGAAAGGCCAAUCAAACCGGGAGAUAGCUGGUUCUCCCCGAAAGCUAUUUAGGUAGCGCCUCGUGAAUUCAUCUCCGGGGGUAGAGCACUGUUUCGGCAAGGGGGUCAUCCCGACUUACCAACCCGAUGCAAACUGCGAAUACCGGAGAAUGUUAUCACGGGAGACACACGGCGGGUGCUAACGUCCGUCGUGAAGAGGGAAACAACCCAGACCGCCAGCUAAGGUCCCAAAGUCAUGGUUAAGUGGGAAACGAUGUGGGAAGGCCCAGACAGCCAGGAUGUUGGCUUAGAAGCAGCCAUCAUUUAAAGAAAGCGUAAUAGCUCACUGGUCGAGUCGGCCUGCGCGGAAGAUGUAACGGGGCUAAACCAUG
rnacentral:rRNA from 1 species